rnacentral:rRNA from 1 species
CCCACAUCAUGAAAGCCGCUUGUACCCGAAGUCGCUGUGCCAACUCGCAAGAGAGGCAGGUGCCGAAGGUAUGGGUGGUGAUUGGGAUG